AGGACUCAGCAGCAGAGAGGGCCUUGCACCAGCGCUCCGCUCUGUUCCAGAAAAUAUCCUAUUUCUGACCAUCAAUCAGCAUUAAGCCAGUUUGGGGGCUGAGCUUUAGGCACAGGCAGUUGCCAGUAGCAACAGGGCACACGCUCCUGGUCCCUGGUUCCCUUCACGCCCCCACCCCCAGCCUCAGCUCUGUCUGGGUGGAACGAAUGUCUGCUAAUGAACUAAACAAACAGGUCUCUUAAUCUUAUCAUGGAGCUGACCCAGAGACUGGCACAGAUAUCCAAAGUAUCAUAAUUGGCAGAUUUACAGGUCAGAAUUAAAACUACAUACAUCAUGGUGACUUUAUAGCUGAGGCAAAGUGGAGCUCAAGUGUUACUUUCCCAGUAAGCAAAUCAUAAUGAAGUAUCAUGCUGGUGACUAAUUUAACUAACAUUGUCCAGGAAAUUGCUGUUGUCCAGGAAGAGAAGAGUUGAGCCGAGUGUCAACUACUAGGCUUCUGGCACCAUCCUGCACAAGAAAUUGGGAGAAUAUGGAACUUUCCCAUCUGAGAAGAAGCAGCUUCGGAAGUAUCACCAUUUUGUAUACCCAUUGAAAUAACUGAUGUAAAUAAAGAUCACCAAUAGAUGCUAAAGCCAUUAAGUAAAGGUUUGAUGGAAAAUAGUGAGGUAGGUGAAUAGGGUCUGGAGGCAGAGAACCUAAGGCCGAUUCACGCUGACUUCCUAAAGCUAAAUCAAAAGGAAAACCCCAACUUUCCACACUUAAGCAACAAAAGUACUGGAGGCUGCUCCCUUUACAAACCACCCUCUCCUUUCUGCGUGGCAGAUGGAAAAUUGAAAGUAUCUUUGAUUGGUUGCUUUCCACAACCAAUCAGAUGCUUGCAUAGGGUGUAACCUUUGUAACUUCACUUCAGCCUGAUUGGUUGCUUCCCUCCGACUGAUUGCCGGCCACUCCUUCAUUUACAUAGGGUGUACACCAAGUAACCAAUGGGAAAACUCUAAUUCUGUACUGGGGCUCUUGGAUCCUAUUCUUGGACCCGCUCCCACCCUGCGGAGUGUACUUUUGUUUUUUGUUGCUUCAAAUUUUUUUUUUUUUUUUUUCUUUUUUGAGAGGGAGUCUCACUCUGUCGCCCAGGCUGGAGUGCAGUGGCAUGAUCUCAGCUGAGUGCAAGCUCUGCCUCCCGGGUUCACGUCAUUCUCCUGCCUCAGCCUCCCGAGUAGCUGGGACUACAGUGGCCCGCCACCAGGCCCGGCUAAUUUUUUUUUUUUUUUUUUCCUAUUUUUAGUAGAGACAGGGUUUCAUCGUGUUAGCCAGGAUGGUCUUGAUCUCCUGACCUCAUGAUCCACCAGCCUCGGCCUCCCAAAAUGCUAGGAUUACAGGUGUGAGCCACUGCACCCGGCCUUGUUGCUUCAUUCUUUCCUUGCUUUGUGUGUUUUAUCAAGUUAUUUGCUUAAGAAGCCAAGAACCUGGACACCCUCCAACAGUAACAAUAGAAUAUUCCAACUACAAAUACUGCCUCCUGACUUUUUGUUAACUGCGAAGGGGAAAAGCUGUAUUAGACAAGGGAGAAAUCACCUGACAUGUUUCUCCUUAUGUGAUGCUGUAUGAAAAGUUUUUUGCAAUAUAUUUUUGCAAAAAAACAUGUUUAAUCUGAGUCUGAG
rnacentral:lncRNA from 1 species